UAGGGAAUCUUCCACAAUGGACGCAAGUCUGAUGGAGCAACGCCGCGUGAGUGAAGAAGGUCUUCGGAUCGUAAAACUCUGUUGUUAGAGAAGAACACGAGUGAGAGUAACUGUUCAUUCGAUGACGGUAUUUAACCAGAAAGUCACGGCUAACUACGUGCCAGCAGCCGCGGUAAUACGUAGGUGGCAAGCGUUAUCCGGAUUUAUUGGGCGUAAAGAGAGUGCAGGCGGUUUUCUAAGUCUGAUGUGAAAGCCUUCGGCUUAACCGGAGAAGUGCAUCGGAAACUGGAUAACUUGAGUGCAGAAGAGGGUAGUGGAACUCCAUGUGUAGCGGUGGAAUGCGUAGAUAUAUGGAAGAACACCAGUGGCGAAGGCGGCUACCUGGUCUGCAACUGACGCUGAGACUCGAAAGCAUGGGUAGCGAACAGGAUUAGAUACCCUGGUAGUCCAUGCCGUAAACGAUGAGUGCUAGGUGUUGGAGGGUUUCCGCCCUUCAGUGCCGGAGCUAACGCAUUAAGCACUCCGCCUGGGGAGUACGACCGCAAGGUUG
rnacentral:rRNA from 1 species